ACCGAGGAUGCCUUAGGUAGCGUCUUGCGCCGGGGCUUUUCUUUAUCCCGCUGCUAGAUGUUUCAUUUUAGAUGUUAAGGAUUCUAGCUGGACAGGCAAUGCUGACUUUUUUGCUGUUGAUGAAUGUAUGACUAAAUGCUGGCGGAUGCUAAUUUAAAUUUCUGAGGAACAAGACCUUACUGCUGAACAAAAAACACUAAAAGGAGUCGGACAUGGAUGGUGCGUAAAAGACAAAUGCUAAAAGGAAUAAGACAACGCCACAGGAUUAAUACUAAAUCUAAACCAAUCUUGCUGGGCAAAAAUCAAACCAACAACAAUUAAGACAACGCAGCUCCGGACACUGGAAUCAAUACAAUUGAGACAACACUGCUGCAAAUGAAACUCUAAAAUUUAAACAAUAUUUCUGACAGUUCUAAUUUUUAAGACAUAAUAAAUUCAAUAUAAUAUGCAAUACAAUAUAAUCGGUUGAGCUCUGGUGUAAACGGAUUGAAACAGCGGUUUUAAAGUUAUAAUCAUUCUGGUCUGGACAUUAUAAAAUCCACAGGGAGUGAAGCGUUUUACGUAUGAAAUAACAGUAACAACGGGAGUUAAUUUAAAUGUUCAUAGAUGAAAGAGGAAGAGAGAAAUAGGCAGGACCUUUGGAUCCCGGAUAUGAACUGUUGAUCCACGGAUCAAUCAUUUGGCGGCUGGAUUCCAAAACCCUCAAGGCCACAUGUUAAAAUGAGCAAGACAUUUAAACUCAGGCGAUAAUUUUAAAAGUAAGUAAUGCUGCUGGGUGUCAAACCUAAAAUCUCUUAAGACUGAGAAGAGACAACGCUUUUCUGGACAAAUUCAUUUCUCUAAGGAUGGAGACAACGCUUCUCAAGUAGUGAGAAAUUUAAAUCUUUUAGGACUAAUAUGAUGUCACGGUGGACAAAUUAAAAUGUAGAGGAAUUAAAACAACCCCGCGGAGUACAAAUUAAAAUCUUUAAGGAUAAAAGAAAAAGACAGAAAUAAAUGCCAAGUUUCAGGGUGUAAUAGCGGUGCUUCCCCACACGGUGCGCUCUAAUAUAGUAAAUUGUUCUCACCUGUACCUUCAUUAAUCCAGUCUCCCAGUUUUAAUCUUCCAGGUUUUAGCUGCUCAUCGCUGGAUUCUUUCGUGGUUGUCCAUGUGGUUCCUGUCCUCCUGGUUCCUGUUUGUUGGAUCUCCUGAGCCUGGAAUCCUCCACCUUCAACACCGUCUGUCAGGUGGAGGAAGAUAAGAGAACCCAGUUGACGAAAAAAGUAAGAACAUUUCUAUCUACAAAACAUAACUAAACAUUUCAGAUGGAGCUGCAUAGAGUUGAGCUGAAAGUUACAAACUGGUUCUGUCUGCUGUCCAUGAUUAUUUUCCUCUUUAACUCUGUUGUCUUUUCUCUUUAUUUCAUUUCUCUGUCAACUCAUGUCACAUGACUUGAGUUGACCAACAAAUAAAACAGAAGACCUGCUCCACCUGCUGAUCUACUGGUUGGAAGAGAUUGUGGAAAAGCGAGACAAGACAACAACUUUUGACUAAUGAGGAGAGAGAAGACACAGAGGACUGAGGAGACGCAGAAAAUCCUGCUGGAAAUCAAUAAAAAUGUUUCCUGAUGGAACAGGGGGACGGCUGAGGACAGGACACAACAUAAAGAGACAGAGACCAUGUGAAAUUCAAGGAUGGCCUUUCAACCCUGGAUUUCAUUUAUGCUUUGGAGCUUCAUGCUUCUGUGUUCAGGCCCUUUGUGUGCGGAAAAGCUGACAUCAGAAAUGUGAGAGGAAAUCUUUGAAGUUCAGCUCAGCGAAAAGGGCAGCACCAGACGACAAGAAGAAACCAGACUGCUAGGAUUCUCCUUGAGACAGACCAAACCUCGCUUUCCUGUUCAAACUCUGACAAGAUACCAAAGCCCAAGACAUACGAUCAGUUUCAAAGAAGACAUGAACUUUGAAUUACAAAACUCUUUGGACUUUAUUAAGUUCAAAUACAGAAUCACAAAACAUAAAUGUGGAUGUUGGCCUGUGAAGGCAGAUGUUAACUUGUGAAACCUGCUCUGUCAAAGUUCUGACUCUGCUGCAUUGUGGUUGUUUGACAACCUUUAAAUUUUAGACUCAUUUAUUUCCAAGUCCACCAUGUUUUCUAGUCUUGUGUAGUUUUCCACAUAGGAUUCCCAAGUUAGUGGAUGCACUAGGCCACUGUCUCUGGAGGUCCUCAAACUGUCCCUAAAGACGGUCAUGGCCACAUUGACUGCUGAUUGACUCGGUCAUAAACUGUCCCAAUUCCUCCUGGGAGUCUGGGAACCUACAGUCUGUUCUGCCAAACCCAGGAGUAAAAUAUGCAUCAAAACAGGACACAUAGUUUAGUUAUAUAUUUAUAUUUCUUCAUUCAACUGUCACUACCAACUGCUACGACUAUUGUUGAAAACUGUUGUAAUGUUUAAUUGUAUUUACAUAUAAAUAUUAGAAAUGAAAAUGUUUAUGUCAUCAGAAACUGUUCCAAUAAAAAGUGACAUAUUAUUAACACAUG